rnacentral:lncRNA from 13 species
AGACAUUUAAGAAUUGCUGUUGGGGUUUCACAACUGUAGAAGAGUUAUAAAAGAAAUGGGAUUUCAGAGAAAGGUGUUGAACCAAAAUGCUGUCUCAAUAAAAGCUUCUGUGGAUUCCAGGGAGAGAUAUGGAGCUGGGAUGACCUUCUGAAGUUGUUCUGAGUGGAGAAGAAUGGCCUGGGUCUUUACAUCACCAUGUUGGAUGCAAGCUAAGCCUGAAAAUGGAGUCCCACUAUUUUGCCCAGGAUGGUCUCGAACUCCUGUUCUUAAGCGAUCUUUCUGUUUCAUCCUUCCAAAAAGCUGGGAUUACAGGACUGAGCCACUGCACCUGGCCUCUUUUAGUUUUGUAUACCAAGGCAGCUAUGUGCAUGGAAGCAAAUAG